rnacentral:rRNA from 1 species
GCACAGCGAAAGGUGCUUGCACCUUUCAAGUGAGUGGCGAACGGGUGAGUAACACGUGGACAACCUGCCUCAAGGCUGGGGAUAACAUUUGGAAACAGAUGCUAAUACCGAAUAAAACUUAGUGUCGCAUGACACAAAGUUAAAAGGCGCUUCGGCGUCACCUAGAGAUGGAUCCGCGGUGCAUUAGUUAGUUGGUGGGGUAAAGGCCUACCAAGACAAUGAUGCAUAGCCGAGUUGAGAGACUGAUCGGCCACAUUGGGACUGAGACACGGCCCAAACUCCUACGGGAGGCUGCAGUAGGGAAUCUUCCACAAUGGGCGAAAGCCUGAUGGAGCAACGCCGCGUGUGUGAUGAAGGCUUUCGGGUCGUAAAGCACUGUUGUAUGGGAAGAACAGCUAGAAUAGGAAAUGAUUUUAGUUUGACGGUACCAUACCAGAAAGGGACGGCUAAAUACGUGCCAGCAGCCGCGGUAAUACGUAUGUCCCGAGCGUUAUCCGGAUUUAUUGGGCGUAAAGCGAGCGCAGACGGUUUAUUAAGUCUGAUGUGAAAGCCCGGAGCUCAACUCCGGAAUGGCAUUGGAAACUGGUUAACUUGAGUGCAGUAGAGGUAAGUGGAACUCCAUGUGUAGCGGUGGAAUGCGUAGAUAUAUGGAAGAACACCAGUGGCGAAAGCGGCUUACUGGACUGCAACUGACGUUGAGGCUCGAAAGUGUGGGUAGCAAACAGGAUUAGAUACCCUGGUAGUCCACACCGUAACGAUGAACACUAUGUGUUAGGAGGUUUCCGCCUCUUAGUGCCGAAGCUAACGCAUUAGUGUUCCGCCUGGGGAGUACGA